rnacentral:rRNA from 1 species
AGAGUUUGAUCAUGGCUCAGAACGAACGCUGGCGGCAGGCCUCAAACAUGCAAGUCUAGGGGGCGUAGCAAUACGUCACCGGCGGACGGGUGCGUAACACGUGGGAAUGUACCUAUUGGUUCGGAACAACUCAGGGAAACUUGAGCUAAUACCGAAUGUGCCCGAAAGGGGAAAGAUUUAUCGCCAAUAGAUCAGCCCGCGUCCGAUUAGCUAGUUGGUGGGGUAAAGGCCCACCAAGGCGACGAUCGGUAGCUGUUCUGAGAGGAAGAUCAGCCACACUGGGACUGAGACACGGCCCAGACUCCUACGGGAGGCAGCAGUUGGGAAUCUUGGACAAUGGGGGAAACCCUGAUCCAGCCAUGCCGCGUGAGUGAUGAAGGCCUUCGGGUUGUAAAACUCUUUCGACGGGGACGAUAAUGACGGUACCCGUAGAAGAAGCUCCGGCUAACUUCGUGCCAGCAGCCGCGGUAAUACGAAGGGGGCUAGCGUUGUUCGGAAUUACUGGGCGUAAAGCGUGCGCAGGCGGCCAUCCAAGUCAGUGGUGAAAGCCCGGAGCUCAACUCCGGAAUUGCCAUUGAAACUGUUCGGCUAGAGUACGAGAGAGGUGAGUGGAAUUCCCAGUGUAGAGGUGAAAUUCGUAGAUAUUGGGAAGAACACCGGUGGCGAAGGCGGCUCACUGGCUCGUAACUGACGCUCAGGCACGACAGCGUGGGGAUCAAACAGGAUUAGAUACCCCCGUAGUCC